AUUCUUUCAAAUGUAUUACCUCACUUGAUGCUGACAAGAUAACCACCGAAGGAGGGCUCUCUUAGUGUCCCUAGUUGAACUGAUGAAGAGGACGGGAAACUGAAGUGACCAGUUCAAGGUGGACAACUCACUGAGGGCCCUCAGCCCUUCCUCAGCUCACAAGCGGGACCUCAGGUCUAUAAACAGUUUCAGGAGGAAAGGGAAGCAGAAUGAGGAAACGAGGCUCCAAUGCCAAGCAUUGGGGAGCCCGGAAAGACCACAUUUCCAAGAAUUCCAGGCCCGGAAGUAGGAGCUGGUCUACUUAUAGGAGGAUUUUCUUCUGCCUCUGCCACCUCUGAGACAGCAAGACCAAGCCCCUGCUUCCUCCUCCUCCUCAGCCUAUUCAAUGUGAAAAUCACAAGGAUGAAGACCUUUAUGAUGAUACAUUUUCACUUAAUGAAUAAAAUGGCUGAUCUCUCCAGGUUCAGUCGAUGGAAGAUCUCAGAGACACAUUUCAUAGACUGGGCCUGGGAACCAGGACUGCCGGACUGCGGGGCCAGUGUUUUCUUCUACCACCCUGUGCUUCCACCCCUCCUUCUGACUCAUUCUCCUUUUCCCCAUAUCUAAUCUCUUUCAUCCCUCAGUUUCUAAGACAGGUCUGUAAAUCCAGUCAGAGCUCAAUAAAUGUUUGUUGAAUGACU
rnacentral:lncRNA from 1 species